rnacentral:misc_RNA from 1 species
AAGUCGUAACAAGGUUUCCGUAGGUGAACCUGCGGAAGGAUCAUUAACGUGGGGCUCCGGCCCUGUCGUGAUAGAACCCUUGCCUUUUGAGUACCGUCCGUUGCCUCGGCAGGCCCGCCUGCCAAUGGGGACCCCAAUAAACCCUUUUUAUGUACCUGUAUCAGUCUGAAAAACAAACAAAAAGUUAAAACUUUCAACAACGGAUCUCUUGGUUCUG